rnacentral:rRNA from 1 species
CCUACGGGAGGCAGCAGUGAGGAAUAUUGGUCAAUGGACGAGAGUCUGAACCAGCCAAGUAGCGUGAAGGAUGACUGCCCUAUGGGUUGUAAACUUCUUUUAUAAAGGAAUAAAACGAGGCACGUGUGCCUUUUUGCAUGUACUUUAUGAAUAAGGAUCGGCUAACUCCGUGCCAGCAGCCGCGGUAAUACGGAGGAUCCGAGCGUUAUCCGGAUUUAUUGGGUUUAAAGGGAGCGUAGAUGGGUUGUUAAGUCAGUUGUGAAAGUUUGGGGCUCAACCGUAAAAUUGCAAUUGAUACUGGUAGUCUUGAGUACAGUUGAGGUAGGCGGAAUUCGUGGUGUAGCGGUGAAAUGCUUAGAGAUCACGAAGAACCCCGAUUGCGAAGGCAGCUUACUAAACUGUGACUGACAUUGAUGCUCGAAAGUGUGGGUAUCAAACAGGAUUAGAUACCCGGGUAGUC